AAUACCAUUGAAUUAUUACAUAGAGCAUAGCACACUAAUACCAUGGAUCUUGGAAUUUUUUCUAGGAGCGUCAGCUUCCACUUUUGUUGCUUCCAUUCAUCUGUGUCAGCUCCUUUUGUCUGUUGAGAGUUCAGUUUCACUACCCAAAAUGAACUCAAUACAAUUCCUAUAUUCAUUCUUUUUUCUGAUUUAAUUCUUGGACAAGAAAUUGAUCAACUUUUUCAGCUCACCUCUUAGUUUUCUUGGCUAUUUCUGCAAUUCUAUGAUGGUCAGCAGUGUUAUGAAAGUAUCAUCUUCAGUAGCUAUGGUUUCUUUAGACAUUUGCAGCUGGUGUAGUUUUGAUGGUCGUGUUGGAUGUUGGAUUGGGAAUGAGGAAGGAAAAUGGAACAAAUUGGCUGCUCCAAGAAGUACAAAGGCAGCUAACAUAAAGAAGUUGAGGAUUUCACCCUUGGCUUCCUCUGCUCUAGCCGAAACCCGAGGGUCGUCUAAAGCCAAAGUCUAUAAGGAGGUACUAAAAGAUGCCAGGGAAAAGUUUACACAGGAGAUAUCAUUUCAGUCUAAGGAUAAAGAUAUUUCCCUUGCAAAGGCUUUGCUCUAUGUUGCUUCUGAAGACGAGGCAUUUAUGGCUUUCAACCGAGAAAUCGACGCUUAUUCACUCCAAAAUGAAAGGAGAUCUGCUUCGUUGCCGUCUGAGACACCGGACUGGAAAUGCGUGGAAUCCAUGCCUCUGUCUGGAAAGACUAUGAGCGAGUGGAUGGCGGAGUUGGAUUCCAUUGCAAGGGAAGUUGAGGCAGAGCUAGUUCCGAGAGAUAUAGGAUGCGAUUUGGCUGAAGUUUUGGAUGCAGUGAACGUAGUUCUUUUUAAGUCAAGGGGUUUCAAAAGGUCAUCUGUGACAGUGGAUUCGAAAUGUUCAUACCUGCAUUCAGUAUUAAGCUCUGGAUAUUGUAGUGCAAUUUUGCUUAGUGUCAUUUAUAUCGAAGUUUGUCGAAGACUUAAUCUGACCAUGGUGGGAUCUAGAAUUGGGGAAGAUUUCUUGAUAUGGCCUCAAACUGGAAACCACGAGGAGCUAUUCAAGGUUAAUUCUGGUCACAGCUUGUUUGGUAUUGUUAAUGGGAAGUGUGUCAAUGACCCUAGAUCAAAGGCAUCAGACAUCGAUAGCGAUUCACUGUCAGGGCUUGAGAUUGCAACAAACCGAGAUAUUAUCGGAAUUGCUUUGGCAAAUCUUGUGAGGCUUCACUGGAAACGCGCUUCAAGAGCAAAUCAUGGUUUGAUGCUGACUUCUCCACUUAGGUCUGUGGAUAACUCUGAUGAAAAGUUUAAGAAGGCGGAUGCAUCAAGUGUACCUUUGCUGCGGCCUCAAGAUUUAAGGUUCAUGAUGCUAAUUUGCAACCUUGGCAUGAGAAAGGGAGAAUUGUGAAUUUUGGCGACAUUAUUGUAUCAACUGUCUAAUUCUAACUUUCUACAAAAAAACAACCACUUGAUCUACUAUUGCUGCAAUAUUGCAUGGUUUUAAUUCCUUCAUCUGGUUUUUUAGUUCCUCAAGCAUAAUAGGUUCCCGGAAUCUAUAGCUCCAUUUUGGUUUGAGAAAGUCCGUUCCAUAUCUAAACUACACAGUGGUCUAGCUGAUAAUGUCUAACUUGCGAUGAAGUUUUCAUGUCCAUUUACGCGUCAUGGUAUUGGCGGAGUUGGUUAUCAAUCGAACAGGGGAUUCUUUGCAUUUGACUAUCAUCAUUUCUGGUGCAUUAAGUUUUAUCCAAAGUGCAGAAACAUGCGAGAGAACAGCGCUAAUAGAUUCAUUUAUUAUUGAACUGUUCUCAGGUCGCUAUAUUAUAUAGCUUUUAUAAGACCCCUUAAUUAUCUUUUAUACAAUCUCAGGUGUUCUUUUUACUAGUUUGGCGCAGCUAAGAAACGCCUUUUCUCUAAUUAUCAUGACGAAUGUUCUGACCUUAGCUCUAGGGAAUUAGUUUGUGUUGUAAUAUCGAUCUCACGUGUAAUGACAUUAUAUCUGGGAUGGUACCAACUUUUUAGGCUGGCUAUUAUGGCGUCGCAAAGAUUGCUGAUUCUGCAGCCGCACAAUUGGGCUCUGAGGAGAGACCACGGCAUGAUGUUGUACUAUAGCAGGGAAUACGAGGAGGCGGUACAGGAACUUAGCAUUUGCAUGGCCUUUGCCCCAGAAGAAGAGGCUGAAGUUCUAGAGGCAUUUGUUGAGAAAUUACACUUAUUGCGAGUUGAAUCGUCGUGGAAGUCUCUGGGACGUAAAGGUCGGUUAACAGUUACUUGACUCUUGUUUGUACAAAAGCUGAGCUCUUUCUCACUUGUUGAGCCAUUACAGAACUUUGUAUAAGAAGACAGCCUAUAGAAUUUUAUAGCUGUAACCUCUUUUUUUGACUUCUGUAAAUAUUUCAUUGAGCCAAAGCUUCAUAUGCCGAGCUUCAAUUAGGAGAUGAAUGAUAUAACUUGAACAGCUCCUGGCAAUGAUACUAAUUCUCAUAGUAUGAUACUGUUGGAAGGUAAGUUUUCUUCUAUAGCC